CAGAAACACGUGUGGUUGCUUUGGUAGUUUAAUCCAGACUCAAUAUCCAUGUGCUUUUACAUGUAUAAUGUAGUGAACAGAGGACCUUGCAUACAUUCAUUGUGUGUAUGCAUCUAAUAUGAAUAACAAUGAACUGUGCCUUAACAGCUGCAGUGCAUUUCUAAGUGGCAUGUUAAUUUCAAUUGCAUGUUAGUUUCAAUGAACCUGUUUUUAAACAUAACAUCGGCUCCUCUCUUUCAGGAGCCGACCCUACCCAAAUCAGAGGCUAACGAACGAAGAGACAGAAAUUUCGGUCUGGUAUCACCUCUGCCUGAGCUGCAGUGCUAGUAGUUGUGGCUGUUGGUGCAAUAAUUUUCUACAGGACGAUGAUGAUUUUCAGAACCACCCCCCCCCAAGAAAAUCAUUUUUUUAAAACAAUAUUACUAGACCUAUAUCUAAAUUUCAUCAAUAAGAGUCUAGUCUAGACAGGUCUAAUAGAAAUUGAAAGGAAAUGGACAGAAGCUUCCUUUUUUUGACAUAGAUCUAGGUCUACAUUUGCUGAUAAUGUUACAGUAGUUUAGGCUUAUAAUACUUGUUAGUAAACUAGACGUCUACAGAGAAAUUGUAAUUUCUUAUCAAAUAUCAACAUAUUUUUUCAUCUUGAUUUUCUGCUAUUUCAGGUUCUUUUCAAUUGAUGCAUGGCAUGGGGAUGGAGAAAAAAGGCCUCUCCCAAGCUAUGGUGUCCAGCCUUGUGAAGUCCAUCUCAAUAGCCAUUGCCAGGAGAUGGGAGCAAUACAUCACAAUUCCUUCAGCAAGAGAGGCAGUCCUGCAGAGUGCAGACCCAACAUGAAUUGUAUAAUUACUGCCAUUUCCCUGGCGUUAAUAUGGUCGGUGCUAUUGAUUGCACCCACAUAGGCAUCUCCAAGCCAGUUGGCCCAACACCAGUUAUUUCCUGAACAGGAAAAAAUAGAUACUCCAUUUUCUUGGAAAGUCUGCUGGAUGAUGUUUUUCUUCAGUAAAAUAAAUGAAGGCAAAUUCCCUGAUAACUGAGACAAAUUCAGAGAGAGGAAGGAGAACUACUGAGCUGCUGAAUUUCUGACAGACAUACUUGCAAGGACUAUGAAGUUCUACUUAGCCUCUUCAAUGAACCAGACUCCAUCUGCUGUAACUGUGACUGCAUGGGGAUCAAACCUGUGUAUUAUAAUCCUCAUAACAUGAAGCUAUGGUAACAAACAAGCAACCAUUGAUAAAAAGCCUGAUAUGUCCUUGUUGUGUGUGUGAACCACAAAGCAACCAUCACUCAUAAGGAUGUUUUUAUGUACAUCAGAUGUUCAUUGUUUCACUGGAAAAAUUGUGAUUUUGAAUCAUUUAAGAAAUCAUGUUUUAUAACGAGUUUUAUAAUAUAGUGCAAGUCAUGAUAUAACAGAUUCCCUGCAAAAGAAA